GCAUUGCUGAAGAGUCUCAUGCUAGGACGAAACAGCCGUCCAGUGC
rnacentral:hammerhead_ribozyme from 1 species